rnacentral:rRNA from 1 species
UGGCUUUCGGGUCGGUGGCGAACUGCUCAGUAACACGUCGAUAAUCUGCCGUUACGUUUGGAAUAACCUUGGGAAACUGAGGCUAAUACCGAAUAGGGGAUGACUACUGGAAUGUGUCAUUCUUGAAAGCUUCGGCGCGUAACGAUGAGUCGGCGGCGGAUUAGCUUGUUGGUGGGGUAAUGGCCCACCAAGGCGAAGAUCCGUACGGGCCUUGAGAGAGGUUGCCCGGAGAGGGACACUGAGAUACUGGUCCCAGCCCUAAGGGGUGCAGCAGCUGCGAAACCUUUACACUGCACGAAAGUGUGAUAAGGCGAUUCUGAGUGCUCAUGCUUUGCAUGGGCUUUUCUUAACGGUAAAAACGUUGAGGAAUAAGUGGUGGGAAAGACUGGUGCCAGCCGCCGCGGUAAUCCCAGCGCCACGUGUCGCAAUCGCGUUUAUUGGGUCUAAAGCAUCCGUAGCCGGUUCAGAAAAUUCUCUGUGAAAUCGUUGCGCUUAACGUAACGUCGUGCAGGGAACACUACUGAACUAGGGACCGGGAGGCGUAAGAGGUAUGUCGGGGGGAGCGGUUAAAUGUUAUAAUCCUCGAUGGACCGCCAAUGGCGAAGGCAUCUUACGAGAACGGAUCCGACGGUGAGGGAUGAAAGCUAGGGGAGCGAUCGGGAUUAGAUACCCCAGUAGUCCUAGCUGUAAACGCUGCCAGUCAGAUGUUGCGUAUUCUUCGGGAAUGCGCAGUGUCGUAACGAAGGUGUUAAACUGGCCACCUGGGAAGUACGGUCGCAAGGCUGAAACUUAAAGGAAUUGGCGGGGGAGCACUACAAGUGGUGGCGCGUGCGGUUUAAUUGAAUUCAACGUCGGAAACCUCACCAGGGGCGACGGCACUGUGAAGGUCAGUCUGAAGGGCUUACCUGAGGAGCCGAGAGGUGUUGUAUGGUCACCGUCAGCUCGUGCCGUAAGGUGUGCUCUUAAGUGAGUUAACGAGCGAGACCUGUACCUCUAGUUGCUAUCGUGCGAGCAAUCGUGAGCGAGCACACUAGAGGGACUGCCUUCGAAAGGAGGAGGAAGGUGCAGGCGACGGUAGAUCAGUAUGGCCCGAAUCUCCUGGGCUACACGCGCGCAACAAUGGUAGGGACAAUGGGAUGCGACUCCGAAAGGAGAAGCCAAACCUCGAAACCCUAUCGUAGUACUGAUUGGGGAUUGCAACUCAUCCUCAUGAUGCCGGAAUCACUAGUAAUCAGACGUUAUCAUCGUCCGGUGAAUAUGUCCCUGCUCCUUGCACACACCGCCCGUCAUCUCAUCCGAGCAGGGUCUGGGUGAGCCGUACUAUUCUAGUACGUCGAACCUAGGUUCAGUGAGGCGGAGCAAGUCGUCACAAGGUA